CUCAAAUCCCCGAUCAAGCUCGCGAAUUUCUCUCUAUGAAUACAACCACAAUUUUGUUCCUAAAAAGUACUCCCUCACAAAUAGUCAUUGUUAGGGUUUCGCGAAGAAAGUUCAAUUUUUUGCUUUAAUAGCUGACUUAAGCCCUCCGAAGAGGGUUACACGAGGCUUUGUUUCUGCCAUGGAAGCCGAGAGGCGAACCAAAUAUGCAAUGACCCCAUGAAAUAAGUUGAAGGUAUGAA